rnacentral:rRNA from 1 species
UACGGAGGGUGCAAGCGUUAUCCGGAUUCACUGGGUUUAAAGGGUGCGUAGGUGGGCAGGUAAGUCAGUGGUGAAAUCUCCGGGCUUAACCCGGAAACUGCCAUUGAUACUAUCUGUCUUGAAUACCGUGGAGGUGAGCGGAAUAUGUCAUGUAGCGGUGAAAUGCUUAGAUAUGACAUAGAACACCAAUUGCGAAGGCAGCUCACUACGCGAAUAUUGACACUGAGGCACGAAAGCGUGGGAUCAAACAGGAUUAG